UACGUAGGGUGCGAGCGUUGUCCGGAAUUAUUGGGCGUAAAGAGCUUGUAGGCGGUCUGUCGCGUCUGCUGUGAAAAUCCGGGGCUCAACCCCGGACUUGCAGUGGGUACGGGCAGACUAGAGUGUGGUAGGGGAGACUGGAAUUCCUGGUGUAGCGGUGAAAUGCGCAGAUAUCAGGAGGGAACACCGAUGGCGAAGGCGGGUCUC
rnacentral:rRNA from 1 species